rnacentral:rRNA from 1 species
UACGUAGGGUGCAAGCGUUGUCCGGAAUUAUUGGGCGUAAAGAGCUCGUAGGCGGUUUGUCGCGUCUGCUGUGAAAACUCGGGGCUUAACCCCGGGCCUGCAGUGGGUACGGGCAGACUAGAGUGCGGUAGGGGAGACUGGAAUUCCUGGUGUAGCGGUGAAAUGCGUAGAUAUCGGGAGGAACACCAGUAGCGAAGGCGGACUCGCUGGGCCAGUUC